UUUGGAAAAUCGGGUGAAAUCGGUGUAAUUCCGAUGCUGUGCCGCAACUGUAAAGCCAGAUCCCCGUUAAAAGUCUUCCGAAGCAGAAGCAAUUAACUCCUUCGGAAGAUAAG
rnacentral:ncRNA from 25 species